rnacentral:rRNA from 1 species
GAUGAACGCUGGCGGCGUGCCUAAUACAUGCAAGUCGAGCGAACGGACGAGAAGCUUGCUUCUCUGAUGUUAGCGGCGGACGGGUGAGUAACACGUGGAUAACCUACCUAUAAGACUGGGAUAACUUCGGGAAACCGGAGCUAAUACCGGAUAAUAUUUUGAACCGCAUGGUUCAAAAGUGAAAGACGGUCUUGCUGUCACUUAUAGAUGGAUCCGCGCUGCAUUAGCUAGUUGGUAAGGUAACGGCUUACCAAGGCAACGAUGCAUAGCCGACCUGAGAGGGUGAUCGGCCACACUGGAACUGAGACACGGUCCAGACUCCUACGGGAGGCAGCAGUAGGGAAUCUUCCGCAAUGGGCGAAAGCCUGACGGAGCAACGCCGCGUGAGUGAUGAAGGUCUUCGGAUCGUAAAACUCUGUUAUUAGGGAAGAACAUAUGUGUAAGUAACUGUGCACAUCUUGACGGUACCCAAUCAGAAAACCACGGCUAACUACGU